UUGACCUCGGAUCAGGUAGGAAUACCCGCUGAACUUAAGCAUAUCAUAAAG
rnacentral:rRNA from 1 species